rnacentral:tRNA from 1 species
GCAGUGGUGGUUCGAUGGUAGAAUGCUUGCUUUUCAUGAGGGUGAUCCAGGUUCGAUUCCCGGCCAAUGCA